rnacentral:misc_RNA from 1 species
CAACCCUCAAGCCCCCGCGGCUUGGUGUUGGGGACCUGCGCACCCGCAGCCCCCUAAAGACAGCGGCGGGCGUGGCCUGGCACCGAACGUAGUAGACUCUCUCUCGUUCGCGGUCCAGGGCGCGCUCCGGCCGGUAAACCCCCAUCUUUUACAAU